rnacentral:rRNA from 1 species
UACGUAGGGUGCAAGCGUUGUUCGAAAUCACUGGGCGUAAAGCGCGUGUAGGCGGUUUGUUAAGUCUAAUGUGAAAGCCCCGAGCUUAACUCGGGAAGUGCAUCGGAUACUGGCAAACUAGAGGACAGAAGAGGGAAGUGGAAUUCCUGGUGUAGGGGUGAAAUCCGUAGAUAUCAGGAGGAACAUCAGUGGCGAAGGCGGCUUCCUGGUCUGUUUCUGACGCUCAGACGCGAAAGCAUGGGGAGCAAAC